ACAGUAUAUACAUACAUACCUAUACUCCCUAUUGGUUCUGUUUCUCUGGAGAACCCUAAUACAUUUUCUAUACUUUUUUUCCAUGCAUAGUCUUAAAACAAGGACAUUUUAUAUAAGUAACUUUUGUACAAUUUUAUUCUAAGUGUACUUAGUGCUCAUUGAUUUUUCAGAAAUCUAGGAGAAAUUAGAGUUAUAUAAUAUUUACCUUUUUAAAGCACAGAGAAUGCGAGGCUUUCUGUAAGUGAGUCAGCAUACUCUUGAACAGCUUGUCACAGAAUAUGGUUACCUGAAAGCUCAACUUCACUCACUUCUGAGUACUUUUUGGCUGUCACUAUUCCUCAGACCUGGCUGUGGUCUAAAUGGCACACAGUGGGAUUUCUCUCCCUCUGGUGAUCUGACCCUGUAAGUCUGUCACUGCAGUCUGCUAUGAGGUUUAUUUUCUUGGAAGCUGAAUCACACCGAUGGCCCACCUUAUGGGUUCAUCUAAUGCUCCUUUUGUACAAGGCCACUUAUUUGGGAACCUAAGUUUCCUUGUUUUACUAUUGGUCUGGCCCCUGAGUUUGGAGGUUAUUUUCCUCCCUUGAGAAGAUAGAAAAAAGAGACUCCUAGCUCUGUUUCCUUCCAGUUACCUGCUAACAAUGUACUAGCACCUCUGGAUUUGGACCUAUUCCUAAUAGUCUCUAGAGCCUUUGCUUAUUCUGUGUGGUAGCUUUAAUUUAUUGAAUGAUCAUUCAGGUGCAAGAAACAUCACAUUUCUCUGUUUUUCUAAAGUAAAUUAAAUCUAACCUGAGCUGCUUCAGGCCUGGCUAAAGGAACUUCCAAUAUGGGUGGAAAAUGGAAUUCUAAGAGAAAUCGAGGAACUUCCAAUAUGGGUGGAAAAUCGAAUUCUAAGAGAAAAAUGGAAAAUUGGAUCCUAAGAGAACACCUGGCCUUACUCGAUGCCAAGGAUGAGAACCCAGUAGCAGUGAGCACACACAGCAUCCAGAUGUUGGCUUCCAAAUCCCGUUCUCCAUUAAAAAGAAGCAAGGCUCUAUGAAGAAAUGGGUGAUUCCAGGACUAGGGCAGGGAAAAUACAAGAUGAGGCUACGACAUCUUUUUGUGCACAGGAAGUCACCGGAACCUGUUUGAAGGAGCUCUCAUUGACCAAAUCGGUUACAAUUUGAACAUCAAAAUAAAAAACAGAAGUAAAGGAAUAUAACCUAUGAGUAAAGAACAGGACCACAAUUACAGAAAUAGAUAGAUAGAUGAGAGAGAGAGAGAGAGGAAGUUCAUUUUUAUUUUUUAUUUUAUUUUUUUAAUUAUUUUUCUGUGUGUGUGAGGAAGAUCAGCCCUGAGCUAACAUCCACGCCGAUCCUCCUCUUUUUUGCUGAGGAAAACUGGGCCUGGGCUAACAUCUGUGCCCAUCUUCCUCCACUUUAUAUGGGACACCGCCACAGCAUGGCCUGACAAGUGGUGCGUCAGUGCGCGGCCCGCAUCUGAACCCGGGCUGCCAGCAGCGGAGCGCGCGCACUUAACCACAACGCCAUGUGGCUGGCCCGAAAGUUCAUUUUUAAAGUAGAAAGCCAUGUAGAGGAAAUGAUGGAGUUAGAAAAUCAUCAUUUAGCAACCAUCAUAGUAAUAAUUAUGGUUGCUAAAACUAGUGCAAGUUUGAGGAAUAACAGAAUAUUUACAGAGUCUCAAAGUAUCUCUCUAUAAGAUAAAAGGGUACAAACUACAAAGGGUACACUAAAAACUUAACAGUGGAGAAAUCUGGCUAAUACCACUUCAAUCGAUGUCAGAGAUAAUAUCACUAAUAAUGGGACAAACCAAUAUCAUAUGCCUCCUGAAGCACUGACAAGAACUCAGUAUCACUUCUGUGAUAUCCUUGCCAAAUUGCAUAGCCUGGAUCUAAUCAUGAGGAGCUAUCAGACACAUCAGAACUGAGACAUAGUCUACAACACAACUGGCCUGUACUCUUCCAAAAUGUCCAUGUCAUUUACUACAAAGAAAGACUCAGAAACUGUGCCAGACUAAAAGACAUUAAAGAGGCAUGACAAUUGAAUCCACACAUAGUUUUGGCUUUUCUUCUGAUGUAAAAGACAUUUUUGGGACAAAUGGUGAAAUCUGAAUGUCUGUAGAUUAGAUAAUAGUAUUACAUUAAUGAUAAUUUCCUUGGUUUAAGGAAAAAACACACUACUGAGGUAUUUAGAAGUAAAAUGCCAUAGCAGAACUUAAAUGGUUCAGAAAAAAAUUACUUACUAUAGACACAUACACAUAUAUAGAAGAGGGAGGAGAAGCAAAUGUAGGAAAAUGUUAACAAUUGGUGGAUCUGGGUGAAAGGUAUCCAGGAGUUCUUUGUACUAUUCUUGCAACUUUUCUGUCUGAAAUUAAGUCAAAAUAAAAAUUUUAUUUUGAUAGA